rnacentral:rRNA from 1 species
UAGGGAAUCUUCCACAAUGGACGCAAGUCUGAUGGAGCAACGCCGCGUGAGUGAAGAAGGUCUUCGGAUCGUAAAGCUCUGUUGUUGGUGAAGAAGGAUAGAGGCAGUAACUGGUCUUUAUUUGACGGUAAUCAACCAGAAAGUCACGGCUAACUACGUGCCAGCAGCCGCGGUAAUACGUAGGUGGCAAGCGUUGUCCGGAUUUAUUGGGCGUAAAGCGAGCGCAGGCGGAAUGAUAAGUCUGAUGUGAAAGCCCACGGCUCAACCGUGGAACUGCAUCGGAAACUGUCAUUCUUGAGUGCAGAAGAGGAGAGUGGAACUCCAUGUGUAGCGGUGGAAUGCGUAGAUAUAUGGAAGAACACCAGUGGCGAAGGCGGCUCUCUGGUCUGCAACUGACGCUGAGGCUCGAAAGCAUGGGUAGCGAGCAGGAUUAGAUACCCUGGUAGUCCAUGCCGUAAACGAUGAGCGCUAGGUGUUGGGGACUUUCCGGUCCUCAGUGCCGCAGCAAACGCAUUAAGCGCUCCGCCUGGGGAGUACGACCGCAAGGUU